rnacentral:rRNA from 1 species
AAUAUUGCGCAAUGGGGGAAACCCUGACGCAGCAACGCCGCGUGAGCGACGAAGGCCUUCGGGUCGUAAAGCUCUGUCUAGAGGGAUGAAUUUUGACAGUACCUCUGGAGGAAGCCCCGGCUAACUACGUGCCAGCAGCCGCGGUAAUACGUAGGGGGCAAGCGUUGUCCGGAUUUACUGGGCGUAAAGGGUGCGUAGGCGGCCUUUUAAGUCAGAUGUGAAAGCCCACGGCUCAACCGUGGGAUUGCAUUUGAAACUGGAGGGCUUGAGUAUCGGAGAGGGUAGUGGAAUUCCCAGUGUAGCGGUGAAAUGCGUAGAUAUUGGGAGGAACACCAGUGGCGAAGGCGACUACCUGGACGAUUACUGACGCUGAUGCACGAAAGCUAGGGGAGCAAAC